CUGUCUUUAAUACAGUACCGUCGUGACAAGCUAUAGGUAAACAUCGUCUCAUUACUCAGUGGGAAAGCAUAGAUUAUUGGCGUCGGUAUGGCUCACAGCUUCACUUCAAGAGGAUUUUUUGUUACAUUUGUGACUUUAGUACUGGUUACAAUUUUCACGCCAUCAAAAGCAAACUGGUACGGGAAAAGAGGGGAAAAGGUCGACGGCAGUUUGUAUUCCUUGCUUCAGGGUACUAUUCCUGAUAUAGUGGACAGACAACUGGACGCACAAAUGACGCUUCGAGCUAUUGGCAAACUUCUCCAGGAUUAUGAAUUGAGACAACUUCAGAGCGUGGAAGGAAAGGGAGGAGCGAAAUAACGUUAAAUAUACUUUGAUGAUCCUCAAUGUGACUGAAGGACGAUGUUUAUCAUUUUUUACCUGAUGUGUUGGUGGACUAUGGAAGGAUAUCUGUUACAGGACAUAUUGCAGCUUAACGAGAAUUUUACUUUGCCAUAUCAUAUUUACUGCUUUACAUUUGAAAUGACAUCAAGCACAGCGAACAAUUCUGAGCAAUAUUUUCUGUAAAAUAGGUUCUGAUACAUACAUCUGCAUGCCUGUCAAAAGGCAAUAUGAUUUUCAUACAAAAUUAAUUAAAGACUGAGUAUAUAUUUUUAUUUCUUUUUUAUUUACUUUUAUGUCAUUUUUAACGAAAAAGAAAAAGCUUAUAUAUACUAGAACACUGAUUUCGAGUCGAUGUUAAUGAAAAUUUCGAAAUAUUUCUUUUAUGAUCUCAAUUUUUACGGAAUGUGUCUUCAUUCUGAUCAAAGUACAUGACAUUCAAUAUUUAAAUUUCGCCAAUAAAGUAUAAAACAUAA